UGGUGAAACAAGAAGAAAUCCCACGGGGAAGCAAAGCUGCUCGCACGGAUUUCACGCACUGUAUGCGUGUGCGCAUGCGGACAGCAGCUACGGGACGUGCGCACAGCGCGUACGUCCCAUCCGCACACACACAUGCACGGGACGUCGGCACAACGCGCAGUCUGAUCUGUGCUCAUAGCGUGGGAACAAGUCCUGCACGUGGGCGGCUCGUCCAAGCAUCACCACACG
rnacentral:lncRNA from 1 species